GGCUCAGGAUGAACGCUGGCGGCGUGCCUAAUACAUGUAAGUCGAACGGAGAGUGACAUUUCGGUGUUACUUCGAGUGGCGAACGGGUGAGUAACGCGUUGGUGACCUGCCCCGAAGCGGGGGAUAACAGCUCGAAAGGGCUGCUAAUACCCCAUGUGAUUGAGAAGAUUAGAAGCUUCUUUCUUAAAGGCGCAAGCCACUUCGGGAGGGACCUGCGUCCCAUCAGCUAGUUGGCAGGGUAACGGCCUACCAAGGCGACGACGGGUAGGGGGCCUGAGAGGGUGGCCCCCCACACUGGCACUGAAACACGGGCCAGACACCUACGGGUGGCAGCAGUAGGGAAUAUUGCACAAUGGGCGCAAGCCUGAUGCAGCAACGCCGCGUGCACGAAGAAGGCCUUCGGGUCGUAAAGUGCUUUUCUGGAGGAGGAGGAAGGACCGUACUCCAGGAAUAAGUCUCGGCUAACUACGUGCCAGCAGCCGCGGUAAAACGUAGGAGACCAGCCUUAUCCGAAUUUACUGGGCGUAAAGCGCACGCAGGUGGUUCGGUAAGUGGCGUGUGAAAUCUCCCGGUUCAACUGGGAGGGGACGCGCCAAACUGUCGGACUAGAGGGCGGUAGAGGGAGGUGGAAUUCCCGGUGUAGUGGUGAAAUGCGUAGAUAUCGGGAGGAACACCAGUGGCGAAAGCGGCCUCCUGGACCGUACCUGACGCUCAGAUGCGAAAGCUAGGGGAGCGAACGGGAUUAGAAACCCCGGUAGUCCUAGCUGUAAACGAUGUGGACUGGGUGUUGGUGGGGUAAAAGCCAUCGGUGCCGAAGCAAACGCGCUAA
rnacentral:rRNA from 1 species